GUCAGUACUAUUCAAGAAUUAGUAAAACAUGGUGUGGAAUCACCAUAUAACAAAGAACAAGUAAAGUUUGAUUUGGCAAGCUAUGUCUCAAUGGAAAUGGAACAGUGAAUGGCCCAUUGUCUGUCACCCAGAACAUAUAUGAGUGAAUAUGGAGCAGCAGUAAAUAGAUGACAUGGGAAAACCAAAGAACUUGGAGAAAACUUGUCCCAAUGCCACAACAAAUCCCACAUGGACUGACCUGGACAAAAACCUGAGCAUCUGUGGUGCAAAGCCAGCAACUGACUGCUCGAAACAUGGCAUCAGCAAGUAUUAUUGUAUACUAACGACCUCUUUUAAUGUUUGAAAGGUAUAUCAAGUGUCUGUCUGUCUAAUAACUGUUUCAAAUCUGUUUUCAGCAUCUUUUACAACACAUAUAUAAUGCAUAACACAUAUCUGUCUAUGCAGUUUCUUUGGAUGACCAUCCCAAAAUUCAUAAGCCCUGAAAACUUUGAUUAUCUUUGGUGUUUUAUAAAUCUCUAAAUUUGAAGUUUCUGUAUUUCUACAGGCUAAUGAUCAAGUAUCUGAAAGACUUCUUUAAUAUCAAAAUGACUCUCAUUCCCCUAAAAUUCUUAAAUUCACAAUAUUCCUACCUCUUGACACUGCCAAGAUCACCCUUUCUGUUAUCUCCAUCUGUAGCCUACGUUUUUCACAAGCACAACAUUUCUGUCUGGAAGAAAUAUUUCAGCCAACUAACACCAUCCUUAAAAUUCAGUACCUCAAAACUUUCCAAUAGCCUCUAUGUCGAAGGCAUGACCCCAUAAAAUUCUACCUAGUUUCUGAAUGAACUUGAUGAGUAUCUUUCUUUCAGAAGUUUAUAGAUCAAGCUUCUGUGUACUAUUGAAUUAUAGAUACUUUGCUUCUCUGACACUAUCUUUCUUUAAAUGUUUCAGUGUGCAAAAACCUACAUCCUACACUAUAUUUCUGUCCUGCCUACUUCAUAUAAUUCAGUUAAAAAUUAAUCAAACAACUCACUCUCUCAUCUGCUUAAAUCCCAUGUGAUUAUAAUUCCCAACCUAUGCAAGCAACUUCUGACUGCAUACUGAGAUGGACAGAUGAAAGUCACUAUGUAAAUAUUUGGUAACAUAUACAAAAUACUCAAUAAAAAGAAAUGUAUUUGCGUGACUUUUAGAAAUAGCAACACUGAUUGUCUAUUUCAUUAGAAAAAAACACAAAUCAUAAAAACUGGCAGUGCUUUCAAAAUACCAGGUUUUAAGUUUGUUUCCUAGAGUGUGUGUUUCAUUCAGAAGUGACAGGAAAAUACUAUUAUUAUUAAAAUGUAUCCAUCUGAUCAAAAAUAAAAAGGUAUUAACUUUU